rnacentral:misc_RNA from 1 species
UUGCAAAAUGAAAAUGACCAAGCUACCAUAUAAAACAUCUCAAGCUUGGAUAAAUAAUAGUGAAGUCCAAGAAAGUGAGGGAAAUCAGACCCACUUGCAACAACUGUGAAUGGUUGAGAUAACAUACUGUGCUAUUGCUAUCCAAGAAAGAGAACUUCAUUAAACAAGAGGAAGACAAAGGGGAACAAAGACAUAGAACCUUCAGUUAUGCAAGACUUAGAACUUCAUAUAAGGGA